UGUCACUUCGUUCAACCGGAAGGACACCAGACUACGAAUCUGGAGAUCGGGGUUCGAUCCCCUGAGUGACAA
rnacentral:tRNA from 1 species